ACUCGAGUGGCGAACGGGUGAGUAACACGUGGGUGAUCUGCCCUGCACUUCGGGAUAAGCUUGGGAAACUGGGUCUAAUACCGGAUAGGAGCCAUCUUUAGUGUGGUGGUUGGAAAGUUUUUCGGUGUAGGAUGAGCUCGCGGCCUAUCAGCUUGUUGGUGGGGCAAUGGCCUACCAAGGCGGCGACGGGUAGCCGGCCUGAGAGGGUGUACGGCCACAUUGGGACUGAGAUACGGCCCAG
rnacentral:rRNA from 1 species